AAUUGAAAUCGCAGUGAAGAUGCUGUGUACCCGCGGCUAGACGGAAAGACCCCGUGAACCUUUACUACAGCUUGGCACUGAACAUUGAACCUACAUGUGUAGGAUAGGUGGGAGACUUAGAAGCACAGUCGCUAGAUUGUGUGGAGUCAACCUUGAAAUACCACCCUUGUAGUUUUGAUGUUCUAACGUAGGCCCCUAAUCGGGGUUGCGGACAGUGCCUGGUGGGUAGUUUGACUGGGGCGGUCUCCUCCCAAAGAGUAACGGAGGAGCACGAAGGUUGGCUAAGUACGGUCGGACAUCGUACGGUUAGUGUAAUGGUAGAAGCCAGCUUAACUGCGAGACAGACACGUCGAGCAGGUACGAAAGUAGGUCAUAGUGAUCCGGUGGUUCUGAAUGG
rnacentral:rRNA from 1 species